rnacentral:rRNA from 1 species
CCUACGGGACGCAGCAGUGGGGAAUAUUGCACAAUGGGCGCAAGCCUGAUGCAGCGACGCCGCGUGGGGGAUGAAGGCCUUCGGGUUGUAAACUCCUUUCGCUAGGGACGAAGCCUUUUAUUAGGUGACGGUACCUGGAUAAGAAGCACCGGCUAACUACGUGCCGGCAGCCGCGGUAAUACGUAGGGUGCAAGCGUUGUCCGGAAUUACUGGGCGUAAAGAGCUCGUAGGUGGUUUGUCGCGUCGUCUGUGAAAUUCCGGGGCUUAACUCCGGGCGUGCAGGCGAUACGGGCAUAACUUGAGUG